rnacentral:rRNA from 1 species
CAAUAGCGUAUAUUCAAGUUGUUGCAGUUAAAAAGCUCGUAGUUGAAUUUCUGGUCUGCGCGGACGGUUUGGCCGCAAGGUCAAUUACUGUUGAGAUCGUGGACCUUUUUUUUCUUCUGGGAAACCAUUGUGCUCUUUACUGAGUGCGGUGGGGAACCAGGACAGUUACUUUGAAAAAAUUAGAGUGUUUAAAACAGGCAUUUUUCGCUUGAAUACAUUAGCAUGGAAUAACGGAAUAGGACUUUGUUUCUAUUUUGUUGGUUUGAGAAAUAAAGUAAUGAUUAAUAGGGACAGUUGGGGGCAUUAGUAUUCCAUUGUCAGAGGUGAAAUUCUUGGAUUUAUGAAAGACUAACUUCUGCGAAAGCAUUUGCCAAGGAUGUUUUCAUUAA